GCUUGUCUCAAAGAUUAAGCCAUGCAUGUCUAAGUAUAAAUGUUAUACAGUGAAACUGCGAAUGGCUCAUUAAAUCAGUUAUAAUUUAUUUGAUAAUACCUUACUACUUGGAUAACCGUGGUAAUUCUAGAGCUAAUACAUGCUAAAAAACCCGACUUCUGGAAGGGUUGUAUUUAUUAGAUGGAAACCAAUUCGGGGUAACCCGGUUUAUGGUGAUUCAUAAUAACUUUCGGAUCGACGCAAGUCGAUGCAUCAUUCAAGUUUCUGCCCUAUCAGUUGUGGAUGGUAGGGUAUUGGCCUACCAUGACUUUAACGGGUAACGGAGAAUUAGGGUUCGAUUCCGGAGAGGGAGCCUGAGAAAUGGCUACCACAUCCAAGGAAGGCAGCAGG
rnacentral:rRNA from 1 species